UUACAUUAAAAAAUUGAGCUCCUUCAAAAUUCAUUGGUUUCUAAAUUCUAGGUAGGCACAAAAGUUUGAUAGUUUAUAACCGCUAUCACAAGCAUGAUUCAUUUUCUUUCUUUGUUUUUUAUUUUCGAUAAUUACAUUUUUCUAAAUUUACUUAUGAACAAAUAAAUAUAUGCAUUUGUUCAGAUUUCUCCCAAAUCUAAAGUUUCUGCCAUAAGGUUUUGAAGUAUUUAUCAAUAAUUACCCCAAAUUGAAGUUUCAUCUUCCUUGCCUAGAGAAACUGCGGAUUGCAAGGAUUUUCAUCUGUGCAAUAACGAAUGCAGCAUGCUAUAUUCCUCUGUUCUCUUCGUAAUAUUUAUUAUUUAAUGAAUGGAACCUAUUGGCAGUGGAUGAACUUCAACUUGCUGCCACUUUUUAACAACUUGGGACUGUAGAAUUUCUUUAUUGAUUUCUUGAGAUAAGGUACAACUUCCAAUUUGUCUUUCUGCUAUGCGGCAUUUGAUCUGGAAGAAACAUGCUCUGUUUAAUGAUCCUCUGUUUUUUUCUUUUUCUUUUUUUAUAUAUAACUUUCACAUUUUUAAUAUAUUAUUUUCAUCUGUUUCUUCACUAAAGAAAUCAUUUAUGUGAUUGCAGAAUUUUUGGGAACUUUUGUCACAAGAUGCAUGCUCUGAGUGAGAUCUGGAAUGUUUGAGGACUUAAGGUUGUUGAAGAUUAAAUCCAAUAAGAAUAAGAUUUUAUGUAGGAAUUCCACUUUUCAUGUCUUGUCAUAUUUAACUUUCCUAUGUUACAUAAACAAACUUAAAACAGAGUAAUUACGGAAGCUCUAUCAAAGUAUUUUGUGAAUUUAUACUGUUGGGCAAUAUUAAUUCAAACAUGGUUUGUGAUCAAUGCAGCGAAUGGAGGAGCUUCACUGUUUAUCAUUUAGUUUCAGUCUGUCCUGCAGAUAUUGUGAAUCAGUAGAUUGAGGCAUUUCCAUGUAAUUUUUAAUUGAGCUAUGGAAUUUCAAAUAAGCAUUCUGCAACUAUUGUCUUCAAUUCCAGAGUUUGGAAAUUGAUGACGGUUCUAUCUUGUCAAGAGAUGCCACAGAAGAGCCAUUGUGAAGUGGUCUCUCUUGUGCAAGAAAGUAUUUGUUUUGCUAUGCUCAUCACCUCCACAUGCCUUAAUAUGAACGUAAUCUAAUCUAUAUGGACCCAGUUGCAAUUUACACUUCAGAGGAAACCUUGCGGGCACAACAGUGAUGCAAACAUGGUACUCAUCUCACUUCUUUUCUCCAAAUAUGUUAAUUUGACGGCAUUGAAUGAGCAUGGUGACAUCCUAUCUGGUGGACUGAUUUGCUUUUCCAAUAGGCACAUAAACAAUACGAACAUUGCUCAGAGUUUUACAAAUGCCUUUUGGAAAUUGGGAAAAGGUGUCUUUGGGAUUCAUAUGAGUUUUGGGUUUCAAUUAUUUAAUUUAUUUUUACACUAAUUUUAUGCUUGUGUCUGUGUGUUUAUGUGAUUUAUAAACUUUUUCAGAUGAACUAGGUUAUUGUGUUUUUCUUUUGUGUGGUGAAAGAGAAGCAUAUGCACAUCCAUCGAUCAUAGCGAAUCUUGCAUUUGCAAAUAGUUGUAAUUACUCUCUCUCUCUUACAAGGCAAGUACAUCCUGUUUUCUCUUCUUUAAAUUUUGUAAGUUACCACCCGACUUAUUCAAAUCGAUAGAGUCUUGAAAUCACAUUGAACAUAUUAAACAUGAUUCCUAGUUUACUUUGUAA